UUUUCAGCACUUUUUCUUUUUUGAAUACAUGCAAUAGAAGCUAUGAAUUGCUUUCUAUAGGAGUACUGCUUUGGCUGCAUCCCACAAGUUUUCAUAUUUUGACAAUGUUUUUUAAUUUGCAUCGUGAUUUCUUCUUUGAUCCAUGGUUAUUACAAAGUUAUUUCUUCAUUUACAAGUAUAUUUGAAUUUUCUAACUGUCUUUAUUUUAGCUUAGUUGUCACAGAACAUACCUUCAUUGUAAGGUUGCACCAAAAGUCACUGGUUCAGUUCCCCGUCAGGGCACAUGCCUGGGUUGCGGGCUCAAUCUCCACUAAGGUGUGUGCAGGAGGCAGCCAAUCAAUGUUUUUCUCUCAUUGAUGUUUCUGUCUCUCUGCUCUCCUUCUAAAACAAAAAGUUCAGAAAGAGCUUCCAUCAGACAUGGAGAAACUUCUGAUGCCUGUAUUUUUUUUUUUAAUUCUCACCCAAGGAUAUUUUUUCCAUUGAUUUUUUUUAGAGAGAGUGGAAAGGAGAGGGAGAGACAGAGAGUAACACCGAUGUGAAAGAAACACAUCAAUUGGUUGCCAGGGCCGGGAGCUUGCAACCAAGGUACGUGCAGUUGACCAGAAUUGACAGUCCACAGUCUGACAAUUUGUCCACUGAGCCAAACCGGCUAGGGCCUGAUGACCUGUAUUGAAGACCAAACACAAACACAUAUCCCACUCAGCACCAUGACGACCACGGCCAAAGCAAAACAAUUUUGAAAGAAAAGGCUGGACCUGACUACUGUGUUGAAUUUACUGCUAGUUAUCACGCUGGAGGACAGCAUGAGUAACUACUUCACUGUCACCUACAGGCAUGUCCUGGGGUGUAGAAAGGUUUGCUGACUUAAAAGACAUUUGCGUGUGAACUUGGACAUGGGUAAAGCAGCAUAUGGGUGGAUGAUGAUGAGGGAUGAGAACAUUCCCGGCACAGUCGUCCGGACCAGCACCAUCCCAGAGGAGCUGGGCCGCCUCGUGUACCUGCUAACGGAUAAGACAGGUACCACUUGUGUGUGUGUGUGCGCGCGUGCACCUCAGGUUGCCUGGUGUGUAUA